UACAGAGGUGGCAAGCGUUGUUCGGAAUUACUGGGCGUAAAGGGCGCGUAGGCGGUCGUGACAAGUCACUUGUGAAAUCUCCGGGCUUAACUCGGAACGGUCAAGUGAUACUGUCGGACUAGAGUACAGAAGGGGCAACUGGAAUUCUCGGUGUAGCGGUGAAAUGCGUAGAUAUCGAGAGGAACACCUGCGGCGAAGGCGGGUCUCUGGGCCGUAACUGACGCUGAGGAGCGAAAGCGUGGGGAGCGAACAGG
rnacentral:rRNA from 1 species